rnacentral:rRNA from 1 species
UACGUAGGGGGCAAGCGUUGUCCGGAUUUAUUGGGCGUAAAGAGCGUGUAGGCGGCCUGAAAGGUCAGCUGUGAAAACUCGAGGCUCAACCUCGAGACGUCGGUUGAAACCAUCUGGCUAGAGUCCGGAAGAGGAGUGUGGAAUUCCCGGUGUAGCGGUGGAAUGCGCAGAUAUCAGGAGGAACACCAAUAGCGAAGGCAGCUCGCUGGGACGGUACUGACGCUAAGGCGCGAAAAGCGUGGGGGAGCGAACGAGGA